UACGAAGGGGGCUAGCGUUGUCCGGAAUCAUUGGGCGUAAAGAGCGUGUAGGCGGCUCGAUAAGUCUGCUGUGAAAGUCCAGGGCUCAACCCUGGAAAGCCGGUGGAAACUGUCGGGCUAGAGUCCGGAAGAGGCGAGUGGAAUUCCCGGUGUAGCGGUGAAAUGCGCAGAUAUCGGGAGGAACACCAAUGGCGAAGGCAGCUCGCUGGGACGGUACUGACGCUGAGACGCGAAAGCGUGGGGAGCAAACAGG
rnacentral:rRNA from 1 species